rnacentral:lncRNA from 1 species
UUAAAUAACUCUUAAUCCAUAAUAUAUAUAGACCUGAUUCUUUUUGGAGGUUAAAUACCACAUAACAAGCUACACAUAACAACCUUUAAACAACAAAACGCAUGAUCGAACAAAGAGUUAUAGCCUCUGACAUUUGGUGAAAAAUAACAGAAUUCGGUUUUUCCAACUUGCUUAAAUCUUCAAAUUCGUGCACUUUGAUGUUAUGGGUCUGUGUUUUUACAACCCAGAACAUUAAUAGACUCCCUAUUACACUACUUUAAACAAUCAAUUGCAUCAAUUAACAUNNN